rnacentral:rRNA from 1 species
CGGGGUGAGUAACACGUGGAUAACCUACCUAUAAGACUGGGAUAACUUCGGGAAACCGGAGCUAAUACCGGAUAAUAUAUUGAACCGCAUGGUUCAAUAGUGAAAGACGGUUUUGCUGUCACUUAUAGAUGGAUCCGCGCUGCAUUAGCUAGUUGGUAAGGUAACGGCUUACCAAGGCAACGAUGCGUAGCCGACCUGAGAGGGUGAUCGGCCACACUGGAACUGAGACACGGUCCAGACUCCUACGGGAGGCAGCAGUC